AACGAACGCUGGCGGCAGGCUUAACACAUGCAAGUCGAACGCCCCGCAAGGGGAGUGGCAGACGGGUGAGUAACGCGUGGGAACAUACCCUUUCCUGCGGAAUAGCUCCGGGAAACUGGAAUUAAUACCGCAUACGCCCUACGGGGAAAGAUUUAUCGGGGAAGGAUUGGCCCGCGCUGGAUUAGCUAGUUGGUGGGGUAAAGGCCUACCAAGGCGACGAUCCAUAGCUGGUCUGAGAGGAUGAUCAGCCACAUUGGGACUGAGACACGGCCCAAACUCCUACGGGAGGCAGCAGUGGGGAAUAUUGGACAAUGGGCGCAAGCCUGAUCCAGCCAUGCCGCGUGAGUGAUGAAGGCCUUAGGGUUGUAAAGCUCUUUCACCGAUGAAGAUAAUGACGGUAGUCGGAGAAGAAGCCCCGGCUAACUUCGUGCCAGCAGCCGCGUAAUACGAAGGGGCUAGCGUUGUUCGGAAUUACUGGGCGUAAAGCGCACGUAGGCGGAUA
rnacentral:rRNA from 1 species